AGUAUUAUCUUUAUUAUGUAGAUGGAUGCCACUACGCCUAAAUACUCGAAGUCUAGGUAUGAUGAAAUUGUGAAGGAAGUGGCAUCCUACAUCAAGAAGGUCGGAUACAACCCUGACAAGAUCCCAUUUGUCCCCAUCUCUGGUUUCGAGGGUGACAACAUGAUUGAGAGGUCCAGCAACCUUGAUUGGUACAAGGGCCCAACCCUCCUCGAAGCUCUUGACCAGAUUCUGGAGCCCAAGAGACCCUCAGACAAGCCUCUCCGUCUCCCACUUCAGGACGUCUACAAGAUUGGUGGGAUUGGAACUGUACCUGUCGGCCGAGUUGAGACUGGUGUUAUCAAGCCUGGUAUGGUCGUCACCUUUGGCCCAUCUGGUUUGACAACUGAAGUCAAGUCUGUUGAGAUGCACCACGAGGCCCUCCAGGAGGCUCUCCCCGGUGACAAUGUUGGGUUCAACGUCAAGAAUGUUGCAGUGAAGGAUCUCAAGCGUGGUUAUGUUGCCUCCAACUCCAAGGAUGACCCUGCCAAGGGUGCUGCCAGUUUCACUUCCCAGGUCAUCAUCAUGAACCACCCUGGUCAAAUUGGAAACGGUUAUGCCCCAGUGCUCGACUGCCACACAUCCCACAUUGCUGUUAAGUUUGCUGAGCUCCAGACCAAGAUCGACAGGCGUUCUGGUAAGGAGCUGGAGAAGGAGCCCAAGUUCUUGAAGAACGGUGAUGCUGGUCUUGUUAAGAUGAUUCCCACCAAGCCCAUGGUUGUGGAGACUUUCGCAGAGUACCCACCUCUUGGACGGUUUGCUGUGAGGGAUAUGCGCCAGACAGUUGCUGUUGGUGUGAUCAAGAGCGUGGACAAGAAGGAUCCAACCGGUGCCAAGGUCACCAAAGCUGCUGCUAAGAAGGGUGCCAAGUGAAGAAAUUUCAUGUUAUCGAUUAUUCACAUUAGCUAUUUUCAAGACAUCUUUUGCAUUUUUGAUUAUUAUGGUUUUUCCUGAUGCUCUAUCUGGAUUGCCAUUUCUUGUUUUGGUUUAUCAUGAGUUGUAAGACCUAUUUCAACAUCUUUUAAUUUAUGUUUUUCUUCCGAAGUCAUAGUGGCAUUUGAAUUUUA